GGGCCCGUAGCUCAGCCUGGAUGAGAGCGGCGGGCUUUUAAGCUACCGAAGAAACCCGUAGGUCGUGGGUUCGAAUCCCACCGGGCCCG
rfam:Caldivirga sp. JCHS_4 scf1118686606621, whole genome shotgun sequence.